rnacentral:lncRNA from 10 species
GCGGCGCCGGUCCGGCCGCGGCGCCGCGCGGCACCGGGGUGGGCCGCCACCGAGGCUCAGGCGCCCGUCCUGGGUUUCCUCCCACGCGUGGUGAUGCUGAAAGGGUCCGCGAGGGAAGAAAAAAAGAGGCUGGGCACGGUGGCUCACACCUGUAACCCCAGCACUUUGGGAGGCCAAGGCAGGCGGAUCACGUGAGAUCAAGAGUUCAAGACCAGCUUCACCAACAUAGGGAAACCCCGUCUCUAUUUUUAAAAAUGCAAAAAUUAGCUGGGUGCAUUGGCACAUGCCUCUAAUCCCAGCUACUUGGGAGGCUGAGGCAGGAGAAUCUCUUAAAUUCGAGAGGUAGAAGUUCCUGUGAGCAAGAUGGUGCUGCUAUACUCCAGCCUGGGCGACAGAGCAAGACUCCGUCUCAAAAAAAAAAAAAAAAAGAAAAGAAAGAAAAAAAAUAAAAAGAAAAGAGGAAAUUGCUCCGAUAGAUUCAGGAAAUGGUAAUCAUCAUACCCAAUGCAGAACAUGCUUGACAUUAAUUUUUCUUCUACAGCAUAUAAAACAUACUAAAAAGGUUCUUUAAAUGUCUCUGAAGCAACAUACUGUCUAGAAGAAUAUAAUACCAGUAAUUAUUUUCCUAAGUUGAAUUGAUCCUUAAUCCAAAUCAAAUCGUUAAUAUAGAGUGAAUAGUAUAGGAGGCAGAAUGUUUUUUCUUUUGGCUGCUUGCUUGCUGAUUUAAGAUGUGUUUGGAGUUAUACUGUGAUUAAAAAUCUUUUAAAAGUACUUUAUUGUGUAUCAUCAAAAUUGCUUUAUUAAGUAUGUGUCAUUUAAGUCUCUGGUCACUUGGAAUUUUUUUAAGGUUAUGGAUAAAUAUGUUUUCAUGAAAUUGUUCCAUAAUAUCAAGAUACAGUAGAAAGACUUUUAAACAAAAAAGUGUUUUAAAAAUCUGUUAUCACAGACCGUUGCGCCGCCCGCC